rnacentral:rRNA from 1 species
UACGUAGGGGGCAAGCGUUGUCCGGAUUUAUUGGGCGUAAAGAGCGUGUAGGCGGCCUUACAGGUCAGCUGUGAAAACUCGAGGCUCAACCUCGAGACGUCGGUUGAAACCGUAUGGCUAGAGUCCGGAAGAGGAGAGUGGAAUUCCCGGUGUAGCGGUGAAAUGCGCAGAUAUCGGGAGGAACACCAAUUGCGAAGGCAGCUCGCUGGGACGUCACUGACGCUGAGGAGCGAAAGCGUGGGUAGCAAACAGG